CCAUAGUCAAGAGGGAAACAGCCCAGACCGCCAGCUAAGGUCCCAAAAUUAACGCUAAGUGAUAAAGGAGGUGGGAUUGCCCAGACAACCAGGAGGUUUGCCUAGAAGCAGCCAUCCUCAAAGGAGUGCGUAAUAGCUCACUGGUCGAGCGAUCCUGCGCCGAAAAUGAACGGGGCUAAGCGUUAUACCGAAGCUGCGGAUAAAUUUAUUUAUGGUAGGGGAGCGUUCUAUGUAGGGUGAAGCGUUAGCGUAAGCGGACGUGGACAGCAUAGAAGUGAGAAUGUCGGCUUGAGUAGCGAAAACAUGGGUGAGAAUCCCAUGCCCCGAAACCCUAAGGGUUCCUCCGGCAGGCUCGUCCGCGGAGGGUUAGUCUGGACCUAAGGCGAGGCCGAAAGGCGUAGUCGAUGGAUAACAGGUCAAUAUUCCUGUACCAGAUGUGUUUUGAGAAGGGGGACGGAGAAGGCUAACCAGGCCAGAUGUUGGUUACUGGUUCAAGCGUUCGAGGCUUUGAGAGAUGGAGAAAACAUCUUGAGCUAAGGCGUGAGUACGAGCUGCUACGGCAGCGAAGUUGGUGAUGUCAUGCUUCCAAGAAAAGCCCUAUACUCGUUAAGACACAAAUGCCAGUACCCGAAACCGACACAGGUGGGGUGGUAGAGAAUACCGAGGGGCGCGAGAUAACUCUCUCUAAGGAACUCGGCAAAAUGGCCCCGUAACUUCGGGAGAAGGGGUGCCAGCGAGAGCUGGUCGCAGUGAAGAGGCGCAAGCGACUGUUUACCAAAAACACAGGUCUCCGCUAAGUCGCAAGACGAUGUAUGGGGGCUGACACCUGCCCAGUGCCGGAAGGUUAAGGAAGCUGGUUAGCUUUAUGUGAAGCUGGCGACUGAAGCCCCGGUGAACGGCGGCCGUAACUAUAACGGUCCUAAGGUAGCGAAAUUCCUUGUCGGGUAAGUUCCGACCCGCACGAAAGGUGUAACGAUUUGCGCGCUGUCUCGGAGAGAGGCUCGGCGAAAUAGAAUUGUCUGUGAAGAUGCGGACUACAUACACCCGGACAGAAAGACCCUAUGAAGCUUUACUGUAGUUUGAUAUUGUGCUCGGGCUCUGAAUGCGCAGAAUAGGUGGGAGACGUUGAAAUAGUGCUUGUGGGUACUAUUGAGUCAUCGGUGAGAUACCACUCUUUUAGAGCUAGGGUUCUAACGCUUACCCGUUAUCCGGGAAGCGGACAGUAUCUGAUGGGCAGUUUGACUGGGGCGGUCGCCUCCUAAAAGGUAACGGAGGCGCACAAAGGUUCCCUCAGGCUGGUUGGAAAUCAGUCGUUGAGUGCAAAAGCAGAAGGGAGCUUGACUGUGAGACCUACAAGUCGAACAGGGACGAAAGUCGGUUUUAGUGAUCCGACGGUUCUGCGUGGAAGGGCCGUCGCUCAACGGAUAAAAGUUACUCUAGGGAUAACAGGCUGAUCUCCCCCAAGAGUUCACAUCGACGGGGAGGUUUGGCACCUCGAUGUCGGCUCAUCGCAACCUGGGGCUGAAGUCGGUCCCAAGGGUUGGGCUGUUCGCCCAUUAAAGCGGUACGCGAGCUGGGUUCAGAACGUCGUGAGACAGUUCGGUCCAUAUCCGGUGUAUGCGCAGGAAUAUUGAGAGGAUUUCUCCCUAGUACGAGAGGACCGGGAGGAACGCACCUCUGGUGUGCCAGUUAUCGUGCCAACGGUAAACGCUGGGUAGCCAUGUGCGGAGUGGAUAACCGCUGAAAGCAUCUAAGUGGGAAGCCCACCUCAAGAUGAGUAUUGCCAUGGCUUAAGCCAGUAAGGUCACGGGAAGAACACCCGUUGAUAGGCUCUACGUGGAAGCUUGGUAACAAGUGCAGCGGAGGAGUACUAAUAGACCGAGGGCUUGACCAA
rnacentral:rRNA from 1 species